rnacentral:lncRNA from 1 species
AGCUGUUGAGAGCGUCGCGUGCUUGAGAGGAAAAGAAAAAAAUAACACGGUGGGGAAAAUAAGAAAUGCUCCGCCACAUUAUCUUAUCUGCAUUAUCAUACACACUGCGAUAUGUUGGCCUCGCGAGAGAAACUUUGCCGAGAAAACCGACACUGGCGUUCAGUUCCGCGUUUGAUGUAACGAACGUUUCCAUGAUCCUGGGAAUCGAUUACUAUUAAUAGCAUUAUUGUUAGUAGUAUCGUUAUCGUUGAUAUUUCGAGCCAGCUGUAAAUGCAAGCAGACAGGCUGCUUCGUUUGUGAUGGCGAAACGAAAGGAGACAGAAAGAGAGGAAAGAUAUAAUAUACGACAGAAUUAUGGAGGUCAGAUUGAAGAAAGAAAAACGAGGGUCAGUGAGGACUUCUGAGAAUUCUUCAUUCUUCUUCUCCUCAUGAAAUCGUCUUUUCGAUAAAUCCAAAGAGCGUGCUCUGGCACGGUUCUCCAAUUUUGAUAUCCCCAUCUUCUUUCAACGACCAAGAAGACUCGUAAAUAGUAUUAAAAAUGGCUUUAUCGCUAAACUGCGGAUUUUCACGUACGUGUACUACGUAUUUAUAGGAAAUUUGAAGGUGUAACGUUCCACGAAAUGCACACGCGAUAUCCAAUAAAGUACAGUGCUUUCUACACUGCUCGGUGAACCGCAACGAGGCACAAAGACAGUUCGAUUGUCUGAGAGUUUUUACUCGCGUCGAGGGAGUUGCAAAACUCGUGGAACGCGGCUGAAUGAGCCCACGCGCAUUCCCUGACUGUCGUACGCGGUCCAAGAUAUUGACAUUGGCCCUUUUCCACCAGAUCUGAUCGUUUUAUUAUGCAGCCAGCGGAACUCGGUUUCGAGGAUUGGCACAGUUUCAAGUGCACCAAGCUACUCAGACGUUUCACGACCCAGUGCUAGCCUCCGUCGGUUUAUACACGUCCUAAAACAUUUAUAUCACGGUCGAUAUUUCACGGUAAAUUGGAAGAAACGAUCUCGAAUAACGUUACAUCCAAGCAGACGAAAAAUCGAGCGGCCAUUCGUUUCAGAAAACUGUUGAUAUUAGAUCGUCGAGAUUAUGCGAGUAUUCGAUAAAAAUAACGAAAUUAUCUUUGCUUUGGAUCGUAUUUGAAUAAUUCGAGAGUCCGAUAAAAAUAAUGGAGAAAUUUUUCACGCACGCCUGCGACGAGAAACGUCGCUUUACGAUGUGUUUCUAAGAAGAAAAUAUUUCUGUCGGACAUUUGCCGCUAUACAUCGAUACACCUUCGGGUUUCUCGUCAAAAAAUCGAACUUCAGAAAAGAUUCUUUCCGACGUUACACGUGACUCUUAAAACAAUAGAACUGUGUACCGGGAACAUUUUCAUUGGACAAUGAACGAGGCAGCAUACUCGACUAAUUCCAUUUAGCCGAAGCAUCCUGUACAUUCUACAGAAAUUUGCAUACACGCGACCUAUAAUCUAUAAUCCAUAAGCUAACGUGAAUUAAAUUACCUACAUACAGGGUGUUCGCGUUCAGAAGCGAAGAGAAACGUAACGCGAUACUCUCGUAUUUGCGUCUCGCUUGUCUUAAACCUAAGAAAUUCUACGAGAUUAAAGUUACGAUAUCUUCGAGUCUUUCACGCUCCGCUGCCUUCGUUCAGGCGGACACAAAGAGAUUGCCGUAUGGCGAUCGUAUGGCAGAAAAUUACAAGCUGCAAAUUUUUCGAAAAUAUGUGUCUCCUUGCAGCUUCGCCCUCGAAAUGUAAAUCGAAAAAGUAAAUAAAAGAGAAAAAGUGAAAAAUACGCAGAAGAUGGAACUGCUCGGUUUUCGGCAUUAGGUGGUAAUGACAAAAUCCGCAAUCACUUAGUUGCCAACCCAAUAUGAAAAGGAUGCGAAACAAGGCAGUCAGAUGCUAAUUUGUAGCAGAGGUGUGCUCGAGAUGGAAAAAGGAUAGAACGAUAGAAUGGUUGAGGAAAUUAGAAAGAAACGAGUGUAUAUAAGGAAGGAUAGGGGAAAAGAGAGAAUAUGCGACAAACAUGUGAGAUUAAAUUUAAAUAAUUAACUGAGAGUAAAUAGAAUGUAACUAAGAGUAAGUUUAAGUAUUAGAUUGUCCCAGUAGAACAAAAUGGAUCACAAGUAAUUCGAUAAAAAAAUAUACAAGAAAAAAUGUUGUUCCUUAUAAAACGAAGGAAAUUUUUGGGACAACCUAAUAUUAUAUUAACAAUAAUCUAGUGUGUACUGAGGUUGAAAGAGCGUGCGAAUAAGAAAUCCACGUGAAUCUCAUUUUGUAGCCAGAAGGCAAAAAUAAAUAAAUAA